CCUUAUUAUAUACUUCUUUGUAGGUAAGUUUUAUCUCCGAAAAUCAUUGGUAGGGAAACUACUCGUUUUCGUUUUAAAACAAUUUGCGCCCCUAUUUUGAAAAUAUUACCACUGUAAUAUAAUAUUUUUUAUACAUAUUUUGACCGGUCAGUAGACUUUUUGUGCUAGUCAACUUGGUGCGCUCCCACCUGAACGAAAUAUUAUUUAACGCGGGAACGCCCGCCCGUCAUCCUCGGAAUUGAAAACGCGGCGCA